UACGUAGGGGGCAAGCGUUGUCCGGAAUUAUUGGGCGUAAAGAGCUCGUAGGCGGUCUGUCGCGUCUGCUGUGAAAACUCAGGGCUUAACCCUGAGCUUGCAGUGGGUACGGGCAGACUAGAGUGUGGUAGGGGAGACUGGAAUUCCUGGUGUAGCGGUGAAAUGCGCAGAUAUCAGGAGGAACACCGAUGGCGAAGGCAGGUCUGCUGGGCCACUACUGACGCUGAGAAGCGAAAGCAUGGGGAGCGAACAGG
rnacentral:rRNA from 1 species